rnacentral:rRNA from 1 species
AGUGAACGCUGGCGGUAGGCCUAACACAUGCAAGUCGAACGGCAGCACAGUAAGAGCUUGCUCUUACGGGUGGCGAGUGGCGGACGGGUGAGGAAUACAUCGGAAUCUACUUUUUCGUGGGGGAUAACGUAGGGAAACUUACGCUAAUACCGCAUACGACCUACGGGUGAAAGAAGGGGAUCUUCGGACCUUGCGCGAUUGAUUGAGCCGAUGUCGGAUUAGCUAGUUGGCGGGGUAAAGGCCCACCAAGGCGACGAUCCGUAGCUGGUCUGAGAGGAUGAUCAGCCACACUGGAACUGAGACACGGUCCAGACUCCUACGGGAGGCAGCAGUGGGGAAUAUUGGACAAUGGGCGCAAGCCUGAUCCAGCCAUACCGCGUGGGUGAAGAAGGCCUUCGGGUUGUAAAGCCCUUUUGUUGGGAAAGAAAAGCAGCAGGUUAAUACCCCGCUGUUCUGACGGUACCCAAAGAAUAAGCACCGGCUAACUUCGUG